CAGCACAGGGGUUAUAAACGUCAAACACUAGAGGCACAGGCUGUGCACCAAAUUACAACAAACCACUCCAGCCAAUCCCAGACAAGAUGGUUGAAGGAGGGGGUUGGAGGUUAGUGACAGUUAGUCAAUUAGUCCUGCCAGUUACCGAA